rnacentral:misc_RNA from 1 species
GGUUUGCACAAACCGUAGGAACCGCAGGGACUAGGAAAAUCGCAGAUGUCAGCAAUCGCUUGAUAAUCCAAUACCCAGGUGGAACCAUCCCAAAAGUAGCCUUUCUGGUUGCCGUUCGAUUCUAACCGGACUAAGAGGAAUCGGUUGAUAGGUUGCUGGUAGGUGUUAAAAGGUUGAACGUCUACAGGAGCGUUUCCCGUUUGGAACAUAUCCAAGAACCCUCUCGAUUCGACCCGUGCAAGAAUCGGACCUUGUCCUUCAACUAUAACUGCUCUGGCUUCCAGCGC